rnacentral:rRNA from 1 species
GGUUAAGCGACUAAGCGUACACGGUGGAUGCCCUGGCAGUCAGAGGCGAUGAAGGACGUGCUAAUCUGCGAAAAGCGUCGGUAAGGUGAUAUGAACCGUUAUAACCGGCGAUGUCCGAAUGGGGAAACCCAGUGCAAUUCGUUGCACUAUCGUUAACUGAAUACAUAGGUUAACGAGGCGAACCGGGGGAACUGAAACAUCUAAGUACCCCGAGGAAAAGAAAUCAACCGAGAUUCCCCCAGUAGCGGCGAGCGAACGGGGAGCAGCCCAGAGUCUGAAUC